CACCACCGUGGAAGGGCACCAGCCGGGCCCUGGGGUCACAGAAGUGCCCCAGGAAGUGUGGCCGUUAAGCCUGGUGAGAGGAGAGCGAGCCGGGAGGACGGUGAGAGACAGGCAUGACGGGGCGCUCCCCAUUUCCGGCAUCUCGGCUUGGCAGGACCCCUCCAGGACCUCACUCCUCUGAGAUGCAGACCUCACAGGUGACAGCAGCGUUUUGCUGACUCAGAGGCAACUACCACGAUGACCCUCCAGCCCGUGUCCAGACCUGGGGCAGCAACUUGGAC
rnacentral:lncRNA from 1 species